GAUGAACGCUGGCGGCGUGCCUAAUACAUGCAAGUCGAGCGAACGGACGAGAAGCUUGCUUCUCUGAUGUUAGCGGCGGACGGGUGAGUAACACGUGGAUAACCUACCUAUAAGACUGGGAUAACUUCGGGAAACCGGAGCUAAUACCGGAUAAUAUUUUGAACCGCAUGGUUCAAAAGUGAAAGACGGUCUUGCUGUCACUUAUAGAUGGAUCCGCGCUGCAUUAGCUAGUUGGUAAGGUAACGGCUUACCAGGGCAACGAUGCAUAGCCGACCUGAGAGGGUGAUCGGCCACACGGGAACUGAGACACGGUCCAGACUCCUACGGGAGGCAGCAGCAGGGAAUCUUCCGCAAUGGGGGAAAGCCGGACGGAGCAACGCCGCGUGAGUGAUGAAGGUCUUCGGAUCGUAAAACGCUGUUAGUAGGGAAGAACAUAUGUGUAAGUAACUGUGAACAUCUUGACGGUACCUAAUCAGAAAGCCACGGCUAACUACGUG
rnacentral:rRNA from 1 species